rnacentral:rRNA from 1 species
AUGCCUACGGGACGCAGCAGUGGGGAAUAUUGCACAAUGGGGGGAACCCUGAUGCAGCGACGCCGCGUGAGGGAAGAAGGUUUUUGGAUUGUAAACCUCUGUCCUUGGUAAAGAAGCAAGACGGUAGCCAAGGAGGAAGCCACGGCUAACUACGUGCCAGCAGCCGCGGUAAUACGUAGGUGGCAAGCGUUAUCCGGAUUUAUUGGGUGUAAAGGGCGUGUAGGCGGGAGCGCAAGUCAGAUGUGAAAACUCAGGGCUCAACCCUGAGCCU